rnacentral:rRNA from 1 species
GUGGGGAAUCUUCCGCAAUGGACGAAAGUCUGACGGAGCAACGCCGCGUGAGUGAAGAAGGUUUUCGGAUCGUAAAGCUCUUUCGUUAGGGACGAACGUGCUCUUUGUGAAUAAUGAGGAGUAAUGACGGUACCUAAAUAAGAAGCCACGGCUAACUACGUGCCAGCAGCCGCGGUAAUACGUAGGUGGCAAGCGUUGUCCGGAAUUAUUGGGCGUAAAGCGCGCGCAGGCGGGAUAUCAAGUCUGUCUUAAAAGUGCGAGGCUCAACCUCGUGAGGGGACAGAGACUGGUAUUCUUGAGUGUCGGAGAGGAAAGUGGAAUUCCAAGUGUAGCGGUGAAAUGCGUAGAGAUUUGGAAGAACACCAGUGGCGAAGGCGACUUUCUGGACGAUGUCUGACGCUGAGGCGCGAAAGCUAGGGGAGCGAACGGGAUUAGAUACCCUUGUAGUCC